UACGGAGGGUGCAAGCGUUAUCCGGAUUUACUGGGCUUAAAGGGUGUGUAGGCGGAUUAUUAAGUCAGCGGUGAAAUCUCCGGGCUCAACCCGGAAACUGCCAUUGAUACUAUUAGUCUUGAAUAUUGUUGAGGUGGGCGGAACGGGUCAUGUAGCGGUGAAAUGCAUAGAUAUGACCCGGAACACCGAUUGCGAAGGCAGCCCACUAAGCAAUGAUUGACGCUGAGGCACGAAAGCGUGGGGAUCAAACAGG
rnacentral:rRNA from 1 species